UGCCCUACGGGCGGCUGCAGGCGCGAAACCUCUGCAAUGCGGGAAACCGUGACAGGGGGAUUCCAAGUGCUCAUGCAUUGCAUGGGCUGUUCUUUGGUCUAAGUAACCAGAGGAGUAAGGGCUGGGCAAGACCGGUGCCAGCCGCCGCGGUAAUACCGGCAGCUCGAGUGGUAGCCGCGAUUAUUGGGCCUAAAACGUUCGUAGCCGGAUAAGUAAGUCUUUGGUUAAAUCCUACGACUUAACCGUGGGAAAUCUAGAGAUACUGCUUGUCUUGAGACCGGGAGAGGUUGGAGGUACUCCCAGGGUAGGGGUGAAAUCCUGUAAUCCUGGGGGGACCACCUGUGGCGAAGGCGUCCAACUGGAACGGCUCUGACGGUGAGGGACGAAACCUAGGGGAGCGAGCCGGAUUAGAUACCCCGGUAGUC
rnacentral:rRNA from 1 species